rnacentral:tRNA from 1 species
GCGCCCGUAGCUCAGCUGGAUAGAGCGCUUGCCUCCGGAGCAAGAGGUCGUGAGUUCGAAUCUCGUCGGGCGUACCA